AUACAUGCAAGUCGAGCGAACAGAUGAGAAGCUUGCUUCUCUGAUGUUAGCGGCGGACGGGUGAGUAACACGUGGGUAACCUACCUAUAAGACUGGGAUAACUCCGGGAAACCGGGGCUAAUACCGGAUAAUAUUUUGAACCGCAUGGUUCAAUAGUGAAAGACGGUUUCGGCUGUCACUUAUAGAUGGACCCGCGCCGUAUUAGCUAGUUGGUAAGGUAACGGCUUACCAAGGCGACGAUACGUAGCCGACCUGAGAGGGUGAUCGGCCACACUGGAACUGAGACACGGUCCAGACUCCUACGGGAGGCAGCAGUAGGGAAUCUUCCGCAAUGGGCGAAAGCCUGACGGAGCAACGCCGCGUGAGUGAUGAAGGUCUUCGGAUCGUAAAACUCUGUUGUUAGGGAAGAACAAAUUUGUUAGUAACUGAACAAGUCUUGACGGUACCUAACCAGAAAGCCACGGCUAACUACGUGCCAGCAGCCGCGGUAAUACGUAGGUGGCAAGCGUUAUCCGGAAUUAUUGGGCGUAAAGCGCGCGUAGGCGGUUUCUUAAGUCUGAUGUGAAAGCCCACGGCUCAACCGUGGAGGGUCAUUGGAAACUGGGAAACUUGAGUGCAGAAGAGGAGAGUGGAAUUCCAUGUGUAGCGGUGAAAUGCGCAGAGAUAUGGAGGAACACCAGUGGCGAAGGCGGCUCUCUGGUCUGUAACUGACGCUGAUGUGCGAAAGCGUGGGGAUCAAACAGGAUUAGAUACCCUGGUAGUCCACGCCGUAAACGAUGAGUGCUAAGUGUUAGGGGGUUUCCGCCCCUUAGUGCUGCAGCUAACGCAUUAAGCACUCCGCCUGGGGAGUACGACCGCAAGGUUGAAACUCAAAGGAAUUGACGGGGACCCGCACAAGCGGUGGAGCAUGUGGUUUUAUUUCGAAGCAACGCGAAGAACCUUACCAAAUCUUGACAUCCUUUGAUCGCUCUAGAGAUAGAGUCUUCCCCUUC
rnacentral:rRNA from 2 species